CUAACACCAACCUUAAGCCUAGGUUCGUUACUACGUUUGUAUUGACUAUGUCAAUGUUGAUUAUUAUGAUCGCUGUCUUAGGACUGCACGGCAGCGAGGGGAUUGUGGAUCUUAUAUUAAUGUUUUUGUGUCGAGGCAGUGCAUUAGCACUACAGGUGCUUGUUACAUGAGCAAGGGGGGUGUCAUCUUUUGAGUGCCAUGUCUGCAUUAGGAAUGCUGCAUUUGUCUUCCGAGGCUGCGGUGUGGAUCUCGCACUGCGGCCGCCUCACCUUGGCUGGGGAGAACCUCGGUGGGCAGGAUUCAGAGGGGCUUUUGGUUUCCCGUUUUCCACACUGAACCCUUCUAUCUGGUUUCUGACCCUGAUUAUUCAGGGCUGCAAACAGGAAGGAUUUUAUUCACCGUCGAUGCGGCCCCGAGUUGUCCCAAAGCGAGGCAGUGCCCCCAAGGUCCGUGCUGAGGAGAACGCUGCUCUGCCUUCGCGGUGUCCCCCGGGUCUGUGCUGAGCAGAACGCAGCUCCGCCCUCCCGGUGCCCCCGGCCCGCCCGGGUCUGUGCCAAGGAGAACACUGCUCCGCCUUCGCUGUAUCUCCGAAGUCUGUGCACAGGAGAACUCAGCUCCGCCCUCGCGAUGCUCUCCGAGUCUGUGCUGAGCACAACGCAGCUCCGCCCUCGCAAAGGCACAGCGCGGGCGCAGGCGCCCAGAGGCGCACAGGAGACCUCAGGCCCAGACUCCACUCCCCAGCUGUGAAAGGACUGCUGGCCAGACCCCCAAGCUAGCCCGCCAGGCCUCCAUAGAGCUGCCCAGCAUGGCUGCAUCCAGUACCAAGAGUUGGUGGGAGACGGGUGAGGUAUAGGCUCAGUCUGCGGCCAAGACUCCGUCCUGCAAGGAUAUUGUGGCUGGAGACAUGAGCAAGAAAAGCCUCUGGGAGCAGAAGGGAGGCUCCAAGACCUCAUCAACAAUUAAGAUGGACUCUGUGACUACAUGACUAAUAAAAUAUGGCAGAAAUGACACCAUGCAGUUUCCAAGCCCAGGCCUUAGGAGACAGGCAGCUUCCAGUUCAGUCUUUUGGAGGGUCAGCUCUGGGGCCCUCAGCCAUCACGCAUGGAGUCCAACCACCCUGAGACGUCAUGCUGGAGACCCACCUGUGGAUGCCCCAGUCAAGAGUCCUGGCUGAGCCCAGCCUCCCAGCCACCCCCACCCAGGGCACCAGACCACGGAGCUUCUGGCCAAGGCUUCACCAACUUCACUUGAUGCUGUGAGGAACAGAACUGCCCAUCCAAGCCCUGCCAGAAUUUCUAACCCACAAAGCCACGAGUCACAAUAAAUGCUAUGGGACAAAAACAGUCAUGCAUGUUGCUUUUGUCAUACAUUAGUGGUAGUUCAUUGCACGGCAAUAGAAAACCAAAAUAUCUGUCUACUGGGUUCGUCCAUUUGGAUGCCACAGAGGCACCUGAAACAGAACACGUUCAUUACUUAACUCUGGUUCUUCCUUCCACACUGACCUCCACCCACUGCUCCCAAGGUUGCCCCUCCUCCAGAGUCCUCCUCCAUCUCCAACAUAGUAUCACCAUCUCCCCAGGAACUCAAGUGUGAAGGCAGGGGUCAUGUUUGGCGUCUGUCACCCUUUGCGAGUUGCAACCUGGAGACCCUGGAGGAUGUUAUGAUGAGUGAAAUAACCUAAUCACAAAAGGACUAAUACUCCACAAAUUCACUUAUAUGAGGAGUCUAGGAGUCAAAUUCCUAGAGACUGAAAGAACGGUGGUUGUCAGGGGCUGGGGAGAAUGGGGAGUUCAUAUUUAAUGGGGGCAGAGUUUCAGUUUUGCCAGACGAGAAUAACCUGGAAAUGGAUGGUGUGAUGUUUGCACAAUGUGAACGUACUUUACUCCACUAUACACUUGAAAGUGGGUGCAAUGGGAAAGUUUAUUUGAUGAGUUUUUUACCACAAUUAAAAAUAUAAC
rnacentral:lncRNA from 1 species